rnacentral:rRNA from 1 species
UACGUAGGGUGCAAGCGUUGUCCGGAAUUCUUGGGCGUAAAGAGCUCGUAGGCGGUUUGUUGCGUCGGCUGUGAAAUCCCGAGGCUCAACCUCGGGUCUGCAGUCGAUACGAGCAAACUAGAGUGUUGCAGGGGAGACUGGAAUUCCUGGUGUAGCGGUGAAAUGCGCAGAUAUCAGGAGGAACACCGGUGGCGAAGGCGGGUCUCUGGGCAGCAACUGACGCUGAGGAGCGAAAGCGUGGGGAGCGAACAGG